AUUGAACGCUGGCGGCAGGCCUAACACAUGCAAGUCGAGCGAGCGGCGGACGGGUGAGUAAUGUAGGGGGAUCUGCCCGAUAGAGGGGGAUCACUACUGGAAACGGUGGCUAAUCCCGCAUACUAUCGGAUGAACCCAUAUGGGAUGAGCUAGUAGGUGGGGUAAGGGCUCACCGAGGCGACGAUCUCUAGCUGGUCUGAGAGGAUGAUCAGCCACACUGGGACUGAGACACGGCCCAGACUCCUACGGGAGGCAGCAGUGGGGAAUAUUGCACAAUGGGCGCAAGCCUGAUGCAGCCAUGCCGCGUGUGUGAAGAAGGCCUUAGGGUUGUAAAGUACUUUCAGCGGGGAGGCGUUACCCGCAGAAGAAGCACCGGCUAACUCCGUGCCAGCAGCCGCGGUAAUUC
rnacentral:rRNA from 1 species